AUUGAACGCUGGCGGAAUGCUUUACACAUGCAAGUCGAACGGUAGAGGGGGCAACCCCUCGAGAGUGGCGAACGGGUGAGUAAUACAUCGGAACGUGCCCAGUCGUGGGGGAUAACGUAGCGAAAGUUACGCUAAUACCGCAUACGAUCUACGGAUGAAAGCGGGGGACCGUAAGGCCUCGCGCGAUUGGAGCGGCCGAUGUCAGAUUAGGUAGUUGGUGAGGUAAAGGCUCACCAAGCCGACGAUCUGUAGCUGGUCUGAGAGGACGACCAGCCACACUGGGACUGAGACACGGCCCAGACUCCUACGGGAGGCAGCAGUGGGGAAUUUUGGACAAUGGGCGCAAGCCUGAUCCAGCCAUUCCGCGUGCAGGACGAAGGCCUUCGGGUUGUAAACUGCUUUUGUACGGAACGAAAAGGCUCUGGUUAAUACCUGGGGCUCAUGACGGUACCGUAAGAAUAAGCACCGGCUAACUACGUGCCAGCAGCCGCCGCAG
rnacentral:rRNA from 1 species